UCUAUCAAAGGAGAACAGUUACUCCACUGGUCUUAGGCGCCAAGGCUCUUGGUGCAAAUCCAAGUGAUAGAAGA
rnacentral:tRNA from 1 species